ACGAACGCUGGCGGCGUGCCUAAUACAUGCAAGUUGAGCGAUGAAGAUUGGUGCUUGCACCAAUUUGAAGAGCAGCGAACGGGUGAGUAACGCGUGGGGAAUCUGCCUUUGAGCGGGGGACAACAUUUGGAAACGAAUGCUAAUACCGCAUAAUAACUUUAAACAUAAGUUUUAAGUUUGAAAGAUGCAAUUGCAUCACUCAAAGAUGAUCCCGCGUUGUAUUAGCUAGUUGGUGAGGUAAAGGCUCACCAAGGCGAUGAUACAUAGCCGACCUGAGAGGGUGAUCGGCCACAUUGGGACUGAGACACGGCCCAAACUCCUACGGGAGGCAGCAGUAGGGAAUCUUCGGCAAUGGACGAAAGUCUGACCGAGCAACGCCGCGUGAGUGAAGAAGGUUUUCGGAUCGUAAAACUCUGUUGGUAGAGAAGAACGUUGGUGAGAGUGGAAAGCUCAUCAAGUGACGGUAACUACCCAGAAAGGGACGGCUAACUACGU
rnacentral:rRNA from 1 species